GCCAUUAAUGGAUCUAUCCUCCAUGUACUUAUCUGAUUCUUUUUUAAUCCAGUUAUACUUUUGGCCUUCAUACCAUCCUGGCAACGAGUCCCACAGGUUGAUUGUCUGUUGUGUGAAGAAGUACUUCCUUAUGUUUGUUUUAAACCUGCUGGCUAUUAAUUUAAUUGGCUGACCCCCUUGUUCUUGUGUUUAUAUGAAGGGAUAAAUUCCCUAUUUACUGUCUCCACAGCAUUCAUGAUUUUAUAGACAUUUCUUGCCCCCCCCUCCCCCGUCAUUUCUUUUCUAAGCUGAACAGUAUUAGUUUUUUUUUUAAUCUCUCCUUAUGGAAGCUGUCCCAUGCCUUUUUAAUCAUUGUUGAACUUCUCUGCACCUUUUUCAAUUCUUAUAUCUUUUAUGAGAUGAGUUGACUAGAACUGCACACAGUAUUCAAUGUGUGGGCAUACCAUGGAUUUAUAUAGUGGCUUAUAUUUACUGUGUUGUCUAUCCCUUUCCUAAUAGUUCCUAACGUUAGCUUUUGUGACUGCUACUGCACGUUGAGUGGAUGUUUUCAGGGAACUUACCCAUGAUAUCCAGGAUCUUUCUUGAGUGAUCAUUUAUGAAUAUGUUGAACAGUACAGAUCCUUACUGAUCCAUAAGGACCUUCCCUCUAUCCCAGGACUACUUGUUUUUGCUUAAGAGCCUUUGAGGUGGGACCUCAGUGAAGGCCUUCUGAAAGUCGAAGUACACUAGAUUACCCUUGUCCACAUGCUUGAUACCCUUAAAGAAUUCUAAUGGGUCAAAGAAAUGAGUCACCCUCUCAUCCUACAGUGACUUAGGACAGAGUUAAAAACAUAUUGGCGAGGCAAAGAAAUGUACACGAUGUAUCAACCCCGCACUGGGCCAACAGGGACUGACCAAGUAUUAUGGGCCCAGGAGACCAGGCCCCCUCACCUCUGCUGCGCAUGGUCCAGGUGGAGGGGACAGAUAAAAGGAGGCAGCUCAGCUCAAUCGGCGUUGGUGAAAGAAGAGGAAGGAGGUGUGCUGCAGGCUCCUGCAGAGGAACCAUUGACUCUCCAUGGAUCUGGACUAUGCUGUGGAUGACCAGCUGACUGCAGAGACACCGAGCUGCUGCCAGCCGAGGAGAUGCCCAAGAUGGGCUUUAUGAUAAAUGUACCCUUCUUUAAGGAAGAGAAGUUUAACAAAAACAUGAAUUAUCUGAAUCUUCAGCAAAGAAAAAUACCCUAUUUAGAUGUUCAAGAACACAAAUUAUAGUUCAUAAAAGUUAUACACACAUGCCAGUGGGGUGCUCAGAUGAUCAUUUCUCCCAGGAAUAUCAACAAGUGCAUAAAUUAAUUCUGUCUU